rnacentral:rRNA from 1 species
AGUGAACGCUGGCGGUAGGCCUAACACAUGCAAGUCGAACGGCAGCACAGGAGAGCUUGCUCUCUGGGUGGCGAGUGGCGGACGGGUGAGGAAUACAUCGGAAUCUACCUUUUCGUGGGGGAUAACGUAGGGAAACUUACGCUAAUACCGCAUACGACCUACGGGUGAAAGUGGGGACGGCAAGGCCUCACGCGAUUAGAUGAGCCGAUGUCCGAUUAGCUAGUUGGCGGGGUAAUGGCCCACCAAGGCGACGAUCGGUAGCUGGUCUGAGAGGAUGAUCAGCCACACUGGAACUGAGACACGGUCCAGACUCCUACGGGAGGCAGCAGUGGGGAAUAUUGGACAAUGGGCGCAAGCCUGAUCCAGCCAUACCGCGUGGGUGAAGAAGGCC